ensembl:snoRNA
UGAACCUUUGAUGGCGACUGGUGGCAUAUGUAUCUGGAUGGUGAAUAAUAUGUGCCUGGUAUUCUGAGGUCGAA